AGCAGCCAUCAUUUAAAGAAAGCGUAAUAGCUCACUGGUCGAGUCGGCCUGCGCGGAAGAUGUAACGGGGCUAAACCAUGCACCGAAGCUGCGGCAGCGACACUAUGUGUUGUUGGGUAGGGGAGCGUUCUGUAAGCCUGCGAAGGUGUGCUGUGAGGCAUGCUGGAGGUAUCAGAAGUGCGAAUGCUGACAUAAGUAACGAUAAAGCGGGUGAAAAGCCCGCUCGCCGGAAGACCAAGGGUUCCUGUCCAACGUUAAUCGGGGCAGGGUGAGUCGACCCCUAAGGCGAGGCCGAAAGGCGUAGUCGAUGGGAAACAGGUUAAUAUUCCUGUACUUG
rnacentral:rRNA from 1 species